GGGAUCUUGUGAAGGCGCGUGAGAAUUUGAGAAAAAUGUGGAGAACGAUCGGGAAAAAAAAGGCAUAUGACACUGGAGGAGUGUUUUGAAAAGAAAACGAAACCAUCGUCAAAGAAGGAUUCAUAAAAAUCUAUCUUGAUGAGACAGACGGUGAUGGCCGCAACAGCGUCAGGUUCCAAACGCGUUCUGCCGAGCUCAUGUUGCGUUACUCCUGAGCCCGAUGUUGAAAACAACGAUGAAGAUGAUGAAAAAAAUGAGACCGAUCUUGAUCCGGACUAACCAGAUUACUGGGAACCACCUAAUUCAACCGGGAGGAGCCGAGAGCAUAAUGCAUCCUAUAGAGAAUGACGCACCACGUGACUACAGCUGUUGUAUGAUGCCGCCUCAAGUUUAACUUCAUUACAUCUAUGCAUGUGCCAGUAUGACAUUCUGAGGAAACCAGAAAAAAAAUAUUUCCCUCUCCCAUCUUUUUCUUGCCUGGGAUACCAGACUCACCGCUGUUCCAGUGAUUGAGUCCGGCGACUGUCUGGCGGAUCAAAUUCCGAGGGUGGAGCAAGCCACAGCAAACAGACAGCGGAGUGGACCAGUCGGCGACGGGCAGACGUGACGUUGUUAAAGCGACAAGUAAUUAGCGUGAGCGGAGAAUGGAGAAGUUUAUUCAACAUGGCUAGCGCGAGCCAUGUUGACUGUUGUCAAUGACUUGUGUCGAUGUGGUUUUGGUAAUUUAAAACUGGUUUUGAACAUAUUCUCAGCUCUCCCGUUCGCCAUCUGUAGUGUUGUAGAGACGACUUUCGGCGCGCAAGAGUGUCGUUACUCGUUAAGAACACGUCACGCAAAUAAACAAAUCUGAUUGGACGGUUGAUUUUGUACUUGCUCGAGAGGCCGUUAAUGGGCUGGGUGAAAAAUACAGGGAGAAUAGUCUGGCGGUGCCAUGCAAAUAUUUUUCCAUUGUCAAAAAUUUUUCAACAAGCUCCAAGGAGCCACUAGGGCAGCGCUAAAGAGCCGCGGGUUGCUGACCCUUGGGGUAAAGUAUGAUACAAUAUCACUUUUUUUUUAAACUUCUUAUAUUUUCAAUACAAUUCAUCCUGAGUAUAUUCUGAUAAUUUCCAUGUCUAUGAAACAUCCUAAAUUAAUGGGUAAUAUGUAAAAUUUACUGGUCUGUUGUUAAUUUAGCCUGCUGGGAGGAGAGUAAAUGUAAAAAAAAAAAAAAAAAAAAAAGUCUCACAUUGCCCCUGGCUCCUACUAACAUAUAAGUUGCUCCUCAACAUAAGUCGCAGGCCCAGCCAAACUAUGAAAAAUAGUGUGACUUAUAGUCUGGAAAAUACGGUCUGUAUUAUAGGUAGUGUGAGUCAUCAACACAGCAACCACAAAUACUUUUUGUAGUCUGCCAAAUAUUUCCCCCAGUGGAUGAUUAAAAAAAUUAAUUUAUGAGCACACACUAACACACAGUAUGAUAAUAAGACAAGAGAAAAACAAAAGACUGUCUAUCAGUAAAAGGCUACAAAAGGUGAUAAAGUAUUGAGUUUUGCAGUCUCAUAGUAAUAGUUGAAGUUAGAUCGUUAAACAUGGAUAGCUUUGCUGGCAGAGUCAAAUGAGGUGGGUGAGUUGACCAUUUUAAUGGUGUUCAAUUGAUUUCAAAGUGAACUUCCCCCACCAUCUGUCUCAAGCAAUAAAGCGUGUCCAUAAUCGUUGCAUUUAGUGCUGUGACAAUGACUAGCACUCACUGGACGAAAUUUGAUUCUAAAACCUAAUUAGAGCCUUCCUAUCUUUUUUUUGGGCGUCCUCUAACAUGAUAAAUCUAACAUAAACGGUUAAACGGUUCCACGGCAUCUGGCGUCAGUGGGGUCUCCGUUGUGCAUUACAAAUUGAAUCCCACCCAGUAGGUUUAAAUGAUCAGUUGAGUCUGAUGACCGGUCUCAUCCUAGAAAUGGAAGAGAACAAAAUCACUAAAUAAAGCAUAAAUUCUGUUUGGUGGAGCAAUACAUUUUUAAAUCAUCACCCAAAUUUGGUUCGUUUUUACAUACUGUAUAUUGGUCAUAAAAUAAUGAAAAGAACGCAAAAAAGGACAAGAUUAACAUUUCACAGAUGACUCUCCUAUCUUUCACCAAAAGAAUCAGUGAUGUUAUCUUCCACAUCAGUUCAUCUCAACCAUUUAUUACAGGGACGGAAAGUAGGGGGGUACUAGUGGUCUGACCGCACCCGGACAUCUCAGGCAGUGGUCCCCAAUCUUUUUUGCACCACGGACCGGUGUGAUGCUGAAAUUUUAUUCACGAACUGCUAUGUGUGGCAGAAAAUAUAUACAGUAAAUAUAAAAUAACAUGACAGGGCUAAACAUCAACAUUAAGUCAAGGGCGUAGGUUUGCAUAGAGAUGGUAGGGACAUAACACUACCAACUUUUCAGGAUUCUCACAUUGUCCCCACUAACUUUUAAGUAACCUUAUUUGCAUUAGAUAAUGAGUUUAGUUAUAUAGGUAAUUUAGAUUCUCUUCCUAUUUGUUGUAAGGAUAUAAUUGACCCUACCAUUAUUAAGUGAGUUAUUUUCAUUAUGUUCAGACUUACAUUUACCCCUUCUCACUUGCUAAGCAUUUUUCCCCCCUUAACUCAUUCACUCCCAGCCAUUUUCACCGGCGCAACCCCUUCGCUCCCGGCCAUUUAACUGGGUUUUGACUGAUUUUGCAAGGCCCACAGAAAAUUCUGUUCUAUUGCUAUUUAAACAUGGAACCCAACAAAAGAAAGAUUAGACUCUCUUUUUUCAGCAAGAAAACAAAGUCAGUUCAUAUCUUUUUCCAUUCUUUAGAAAUCAGCAUUAGAAAAUAGCUUAGUUUGAGCAAUUUUCCAAUUUCUGAUGAAAAACAGAGAAAUUUAGCUUUUUGUAAAAGUAUACAUUUCAAACAAAACUUUGACUUUAACACAGCUAUUUUUUUUGGUUUUUGUGACAUCCCAAUCAUCUGAAUAAUGUUUUCCUUCUACAAAAUAACACGAAUAACAAGACAAAUAGAGCUUUUGAUAGCAAAGUAACAAUUUAUUUACACAUAAGUAAACUAUUGAACUGAGACAUGACGCUGUUGUGGCCGCUGUUGUGGCCCGGCUGUCGCCCCGGCUGUGCAACUCGACCGUUCAAUUCCGUUAAAUCGGGUUACGCCUGGUGUCCUGUGUGGGUGAAUUCUGGGGGGGACCUGUGUAGUGAACACUACCUCAUAACAGAAUUUACAUAGGGAACUUGUGUGGGGCAUGUGCCUUGUGUUUGGCAUCGUUCUCCACAUUUUUCUCACGCUUCUUACUUCUUCCAACUUCCGUUUCCUGACUAUUUAUCUUCAUUCACUUCCUUUAAUGGUCCGAUAUGAGUUCUUACCAAAUGCGCUACCUCCAGUGGCCAGUUUUAUUGCUUUAAAAUGGAUUUUCAGCAAUGUGCUUUGGAGCAUAGUUGCAUCAGAACCUAGAGAUGUCCCUUGUGAAAAAAAAAAAAAACGUAAAAUUUUGGGACACUGAAACAAUUAAAAAUAGAACAUAUUUAUACGUUUUUGGGAGCAAAUGAGUUAAACACACGUUUGAUUGGCUGAUGACUUGAAUUUAUUUAAAAUGUAUUUAUUUAUUUUCUACUAUAUUUAUUUUAAAAGUUUUUUUAUUUGCAGCCUGUGCAGACAUUUUUUCCCCAGAUACAUUAAUCAUAUUCGAGGUAAAAAGUUUUCAUAUUUUGUUGAGUUUGGCUGUGCUUGUGGACAAAAGCAGUAGCGUUUUACCUGAAGGAAGGCUCCAUUUUCAUUUAUUUUUCUUAUACCGUGACAAAGACGUUUUUCAGUUAUAUUUAAUUUCUUUAUUUAGACGGACAAUGUUGAGUGGUCUUAGGACGAAUGUUUAUAUUUUGCAUUCCUGGAUAGUUCAUCAUCAUCACAGCUCCUGGACAGUUAAGACAUUAUUUAUUUAAUAAGAUUGUGUUUAUUAUGUAUGUUAAUACAAUUUAAGUUAUGUUCAAAUAUUGCAAUUUUAAUUUGCUAACAAAAUACAGACAUUAAUUCUGGAAGUUUUCAGAAUGUUUCUUUAGUAGUUUUUGAAAACAAAGGUUUGAAUCGAAUGCUGUGUCACCUAAACCGAUACAUGUGAAAGUUAAUAUGAAUCAAUACAGAUUAUUUUUUUGCAUUGAUCAUUUGGCCUGUCAAUUAUUAGGUUCAUAUUCAUGAGAAAUAUACCCCUGACCCCCAUUCACUCAAUCUGUUUGGUCGUAUUGAUGUCCUGUCCCCACCAAAAAGUUUACACUCAGGUUAUGCUGUUUCAUCCUCCUUACCAAUGUUGAGACCAGACCUAUGCCCUUGCAUGAAGUGCAGGGAAAAUGUAACUCAGCAUCAGUGUAGUUUUCGUCGACGAUGACGAUAAUGAAAAUAUUUCGUCAAUGAACAGUUUUUUCAUGACGAUGACGAGACGAUAACUAGCUAAAAAUGUGUUUAGGAGUGAUAAGAUGAAUUUUAAAUGGUUAUUAAAUAGGGCUCACAAUAAAGUAUUGAUUCCUAUAACGGUAGGUUCCAUGAUUAAUUGCUGUAAGAGACAUUUUAGUGGUUGAUAACUAUAGACAUGUUUAGCUCUUGAUAAAACUGCCUUGUCAUUCUGACCGGUUAAAACCCGCAUAGGUCCACUUCAAGCCACAGACAUUGAGAAACUAAAACUGUC